UGCGUAGGUGGUUUCUUAAGUCAGGAGUGAAAGGCUACGGCUCAACCGUAGUAAGCUCUUGAAACUGGGAAACUUGAGUGCAGGAGAGGAAAGUGGAAUUCCUAGUGUAGCGGUGAAAUGCGUAGAUAUUAGGAGGAACGCCAGUAGCGAAGGCGGCUUUCUGGACUGUAACUGACACUGAGGCACGAAAGCGUGGGGAGGCAAAACA
rnacentral:rRNA from 1 species